AAUGGUUGAACAAAACAAAUCUCUAGUCUUACAGCGUUUGCGCUACCAAUGCUGAAUCAAUAAUGAGAAAAACAUAAGCAGUUACUGGUACCCGAUACUCUGGUAAAGUGGGCGUAAGGAAACUAAAUUUGGUUCCGGUGGAGAUCCUAUGGCGAGAAAACAUAUCGCCAAGACGCCGCUUUCUGAUGUUCCAUCAGUGUCACCAAAGUGCACAAAAACAGAAAAGAAAAACUCCAACCCCUGGAUAAUUUUUCGAAAAGAAUCUCCAAUGUGUUCUAUUCAUUCACAACUGACUUUGCUAACAAUGACGCCCUCGUAUAAUCAGAAUCAUAGUUAUCCCUGCUGUCGUACCUUUAAGUGAUGACCGUUUUCGCACUCGAAAUUAUAAGUAAUCAUUUGCUAGCAGUCUCUUUGUACGGUAUCUACUGCCGUACUAUAUCCAGCAAACAGCCCAUUCUAAAGAUGGCCAUGUACCUUACGGUGCGACGAAAAUGUCACGGGAAUCGCAUGUGAAGCAUACCUCUAUGGGACAACAAGGAAAAUGAUGCGGGAUUCGAGCUUCAUUCGAUAAGGCGUCACAAGCGGAUGUCGUACAGCCAAGCCAGGUACGAUAACGGAUCCGUUAACGGUAAACUGAGUCGUCACUUCGCUUUCAUCUUGAAGUCAUAUGUUGCUUCCUUCCUUAUCAAGAACGCUCAAGGAGUCCUUGCCUUCAUUAUUUCCUCACACCGUAUCAUUCACCGGCUUUUAGCAGUGCCGAGCGACUCCUGAGUCCUAAUUUUUCGACCUCCUUUUCUUCUGGAUCGUACCGCUGUCCAACGAAGAUACCACAUUCAGGACAUAAGCCGUCAGCAUAGCAGCACGAUUUGGUCUAGAACCCUAAUUCAGACUAGUCAGUUGGCAACGACCCACAACGCCCUACGCCCUACGCCCUGCGCUAAUACUGCGGAGAGCCCCUUGGGUUGGGCGCCUUGCUUUCAGCGCGUUCACUAUUGGCUCCUGACUAUAACUACUAGCAAUGCUACCCAUAGCCGUAGAAGCAACGAGACGACCGUAACCUGUUGCAUGUCUUAUCGCAUUCUUGCUUCUAUCACUCCCUGCCUGCUACCAUCCUGCCCCUUUUUAAAUAUUAACCACCCUUCGCUUAGCCUCGUUUUGUAAUCUGCUACUUUAUCUGCGUUAGUCUUGCCCUGUUCUGCGCUAUUCUGUGCUCGCUCCUAUUCCUGCCAGGUAAAUGUUGUAGUUACUCGUGGCUGUCUGCGACCGAGCAGAAAACGAAGGGGAGCCCAUGGAACUGGAUGCCCUUCUCGUUUGGCUGUUUAACCUGUCCUUGAACGCCGGUAGUUUGGUGCGCGAACGAAGAGUUACGCGAGGGAAAAAGAAAAACGAGAAAGGAGAGCCACGGUUUUCCGCCAGAAGGAAUCUGGGAAAAGAUACCGGUCUAUUGUAUUGCUUCUACCGCUACAGCCAUCGAUGCUUCACAUCGUAUUCUUUUUCGUCUUCUUCCUCUUUGCGCUGGCAAAACCACUUGAAAAGAUGAACGCCAACAACGUACUGUUACCUACAACAAGGAGAGAGCGACGUGCACAAGUAACUAUGGAAGGUGAGAGACGAGCGGGAUUGGUACGUGAACGCCGAUCCUGCGAAUGUCGGCUUGGUCAGUGACGGAGUCACGACGACUAGCGCCUUGCAAUACAGUAACGAAACAAAGUUAGACGGCACACCUCUUAGAUAACGAUCAAAAUAGAUAAUGUGACAAUUAAAUACAAGGAGAAAGCGCGUGGCCCAGCACAUCAACGUCAAAAAAAUCGAGGGCGCGUUGUAUAGAAGGAUAACCUAAGGCUGAGGAACAAGAUGAGCAGAACGUCGUUGACAGCUAUAAAAUCGGAUACGGAAAGAGAAUUUAGCCUGCUACAUGCUUGAACAUAAGCUAGCCUUCGCCAGACCUAGGCGACGCAAUCGCCUUCUUCCUGCUCUAACUCAGAGGCGUCUGGGGUUAAGUCACUCAGAAAGAGUCCGAUUGCCUUUAACUUUUAACCCAACUUACAGUUCAUCAAUUCAAUAGCUACCUCCUUCCGACACGUAGCGCCAUCAGUAUGGUGGCGCUUCUGUUGAGAUUCAGAUACCUGCGGAGCCUCAAGAAAGCUUCCGGUACGACCCGCUGCUCGUUCCUAAACCCUAGCUCCGCUCCCGACUCGCCUUGGCCCUCACUCAACGCUGCGAAUCGUUCCUCGUAAAAUUUAAUUAAGAGUUGCUCUUUAAGUUCAAGUAAAAGCGCAUGCGGCGGUGAAUGUUUCAAGAGAAGCUACAACAAGCAGGACGUACCCAGAACACCUUAAGCUUGUUUCAAACCUCGUCAACCGCUACGCCUCUGGUUGCACACGGACGGAUUCGUCCAUACGCUUCUUCCCAUUUCUGUAAGCGACGCAUCCCGUGCUAAAAGUCAAUAUAUAAUUUAACAGGCCUAGUCGCAGUAAAAGUAGUGGCGAUUGAUUUUAGCUUUGUCUUUGUCAGUAGCGAAGGGACCCAGUGGCGAUGGGAGGCCCAGAACGCUGCUGGGGAUCGGAGAGCUGGAGACCAAGCGUCGACGGGAAACCGAGUUUUGCAGGUUUCACUAAGGGACAGACUAAUCGCGUUGAAAAAGUAAGAAGAUAGAGGCCCACUCAUUGUGCUGGGUUCAUGACGCUCAUGGGCGCCCUUGCUAGCACCCGAUACGUGAUAGGUCCAUGGAAAAGGAAAAUGAUUGCAGAACUGCUUAUACGCCCGUAGCACCUCGUGCAAGCCAUUAUACGCGUUUAUGACGAAAUGGUGUCUGUGACGUACACGUAUUGCUGUGCGAGAAACGGAUUAUUAUGUUUAGCGAUUGUU